rnacentral:tRNA from 2 species
GGGGGUGUAGCUCAGUGGUAGAGCGCAUGCUUUGCAUGUGUGAGGCCCUGGGUUCGAUCCCCGGCAUCUCCA